GACGAACCGUGCGAACGUUGUUCGGAAUCACUGGGCUUAAAGGGCGCGUAGGCGGGCCUCAAAGUCAGGGGUGAAAUACUCCGACUCAACCGGAGCACUGCUUCUGAUACUGGGGGCCUCGGAGGGGUGCAGGGGCAUGUGGAACUUCCGGUGGAGCGGUGAAAUGCGUAGAUAUCGGAAGGAACGCCGGUGGCGAAAGCGACGUGCUGGACACCUUCUGACGCUGAGGCGCGAAAGCCAGGGGAGCAAACGGG
rnacentral:rRNA from 1 species